rnacentral:rRNA from 1 species
UGUAUAUGUAUGAGUUAUGAUGUGAGUUACUCNUUGUAGUAUUGCUCGCACGUACUUAUGCAUUUAUUUGCAAGGUGUUGUCGGCGUGCACUUCUCCCCUAGUAGGACGUCGCGACCCGUUGGGUAUCGGUCUACGACCCGAGUNGGUAGACUUNUAAUGUUUUNAUAAUAUUAAAGACCCUUGGUGUUUUCUGACCGGCUGCCCGGCGGUAUUCGUACGGUAUUUAGCCGCAUUUANUNUUGCGUCCAUGUCCAUCGCAAGCGCGGCCAAUUUCUGGUAGUACGGACCUAGUGCCGUCGCUGGAAUUGGCCAGCUGUUGGUUGAAUGGAAUUCUAGGACUGGCUAAAAAU